rnacentral:rRNA from 1 species
AUUGAACGCUGGCGGCAGGCCUAACACAUGCAAGUCGAGCGGUAGAGAGAAGCAAGCUUCUCUUGAGAGCGGCGGACGGGUGAGUAAUGCCUAGGAAUCUGCCUGGUAGUGGGGGAUAACGUUCGGAAACGGACGCUAAUACCGCAUACGUCCUACGGGAGAAAGCAGGGGACCUUCGGGCCUUGCGCUAUCAGAUGAGCCUAGGUCGGAUUAGCUAGUUGGUGAGGUAAUGGCUCACCAAGGCGACGAUCCGUAACUGGUCUGAGAGGAUGAUCAGUCACACUGGAACUGAGACACGGUCCAGACUCCUACGGGAGGCAGCAGUGGGGAAUAUUGGACAAUGGGCGAAAGCCUGAUCCAGCCAUGCCGCGUGUGUGAAGAAGGUCUUCGGAUUGUAAAGCACUUUAAGUUGGGAGGAAGGGCAUUAACCUAAUACGUUAGUGUUUUGACGUUACCGACAGAAUAAGCACCGGCUAACUCUGUGC